CGGAGGAAGGUGGGGAUGACGUCAAGUCCUCAUGGCCCUUACGGGUAGGGCUACACACGUGCUACAAUGGCAGUGACAGAGAGCUAAUCUCGAAAAACUGUCUCAGUUCGGAUUGUCUUCUGCAACUCGAAGGCAUGAAGUUGGAAUCGCUAGUAAUCGCGGAUCAGCAUGCCGCGGUGAAUACGUUCCCGGGCCUUGUACACACCGCCCGUCACACCAUGGGAGUUGGGUUCACCCGAAGGCCGUGCGCCAACCAGCAAUGGGGGCAGCGGACCACGGUGAGCUCAGCGACUGGGGUGAAGUCGUAACAAGGUAGCCGUAGGGGAACCUGCGGCUGGAUCACC
rnacentral:rRNA from 12 species